ensembl:lncRNA
CUCCCAACAUGAUGCCUUACCAGGUGAACAGUUCCCCUCUGCCCGCCGCGAAGGCAGUGACGUCAGAGCGGAGCAGGAUGAGCGGCCGGCAGCGCGGCGGUCCUGAUGCUGCGGGACAUGCGGCGCUCAGGCAAAACAACUACACGAGGACCAAACUUCCGGUGAUACAGCCGCUGAGCAGGUCCAGGGAUGGGGGGUCCUUGAUCGGCGGCUUCAUAUUCGCAGGGUCACCUGAAUUGGCUAAAGAUGCAAAGCUGGAAUCAGAGAACACCGACCCAGGGGACAUCUGUGGCAGACACUUCCUCUUUGAUAAGAAAUGUGCGAGGUUUGAGCGGACCAGGACUGUGUUUCCUCCUCUGCAGAGAGACUACCGUGUGCACAGACCUGGCACCCUGUGUCCCUUAAGCUUCGCCAAGGAGCUUUCCCACAGCCAUGCAGCGCAGCAGCCCUUCAUCCUGGGUUACCCUGAGCGAUAUGAACUGAACCCAGGUCAAGCCCCCCCGUUCCUCUCCACUUUAUACCUCAAGGGCAGAAACCCUGUCUCGGUUGAAAGCUGCAAACUCAGCAGGCCUAAGGCGCAUCAUCCAAACUACCACCUGUCGACUGUUAAAGACAGUCAGAAGAGCCAGUCCUAUCCCGACCCGGUGGUCGGAGCCUCUCGCUCUUUUAUCCACAAGGUAUCGAAGCUGUCCUCUCUGGAGGCUGAGACGGUGAGACAAGAGAAGCUCAAGAAAACAAGGAAACCUCCAUCCUGACAAUCACCUGCUCCCCAGUCGCACUGGUCGAGGAUCAAAACCAUUGAGUCUGUGCCAACGACCUCUGAGCAGGAUCAAACGUUCAGGGCGCCGUGUUCGUUUCAGUGGCUCCUUCUCACGGCUUGUUUAUCCUCAGUGACAUUAGUUUUCUGCCUCACAUGGCUCGUCUUCACAUUUUGGGAUUCCUGACCAAGAGCGUCUCUCUUUUGGUGACCACAUAUAGUAUUAUAUAUAUACAUAUACACAGUAUAGUAUAUAGUAUACCUUGCAGCAAAUGCCCUACAAUAAACGGGGAUAAUAAAUCCAAAUAAUUUUUUCCAUUUUGAUUCCCAGCUCUGUGUAGCUCACCACUCAACACCUGCACAGUUAUCUGACCUUUUUAAUGGCUGUUGUGUAAUAUGACCAUAUUUCUUGCCGUAUCAUCAGUAUGUAGCAGAUACCGUCUGGCUUUGAUUUUACUACAACAGUGUUUCGAAGAUUACUGUUAAAUACCAAUUAGGAUUUGUUAAGCAAGUGGGACAUUGAUGUAUGAAAUAGUUUAGAAGAACUAUUACUGUGCCUUGUAAAACGUCUUCCUGCAAUAAAAAAAAAAGUAUUUUUAGUAGCACAAGAACGUCUUCUCUAAUUUGAAUCGUUAUAUUUGUUUUGCGGCUUCUAUUGAACGAAAGCUGACGAAGGGAGCUUCAUGUUCCCUUUGGCGCAUACGCUACAUUGCGACUCAUACAGUCAGCAAAAUGUCUAAAAGCUGCAAUGAAACAUAAUCUGCAUUCCAUAUCUCCCAAACAGACACAAAGCUGUGCCCCCACAUCCCAGAAUGUGGUGCUUUCCCACAUGGCACGUUGUUGUGUUGGCGUAUAGAAGGCAGAUGCCAGUCAGACCAGUUGUCGUUUUGUUUAUUCACUAUUAUUUGAAGAUGUUACAACAAGCUAUACAGCCACAGACUCUGCCUGAAGCAGGGGGGGCAUGCUGUCUAUAAAUAUUAAAAAGCAGAAAAUGAAAAAAAGGAAUAAUUCAAUAUGUCCAAAAUGAAGUUGUUGCAGCUGUCCCACAUGUCUCUGCUGUGUGUCAUCUCUCCAUCACAGUCACUUUCAGUUUUGUGCAGUAUUUAUCAGAAUGUCACGUGGAAACCGUCUAGAUGGCCACGUCUGUGUCAUCUGAAGGAUGACAGCAAUCCUGCAGUCUGAAGUGACUCAGCGCGGAGGCCAACAGGCCUCAAAGUGACAGAUCAUGACUUUCCGAUGAAGUGAAAAGCGUUCAAGUGAGAGAGCAAGGUAUUUGUUUUGUUAUUUUUUAUGACAUUAAAUAAAGUGGAGACAGAUGAUCAAAAAACAGUGGCAACACACUGAGCUCCCUGUUAAAUACGAAUGUGACGACGUGGGAUGACGGGCAGUGUUUCUGUUUCCCUCUGGAUCGUAAGGUGUGCACUUCAGGGACACAGUGACCUAGAAACAUGGAGCCAAGUGAAGGGGGUGCGUUCAUGCCCAAAUGGAGGCCCGGCCUCUUGUCGGGUUUUUACCGUCCUUUUCAAGUGUACUGACACAAAAUGACCUCGAACAAACCGUCAACAAUGAGGUCUUUAAUAAGAGCCGUACUGGGGCCUGCCACCAAGUGGUUUGUCCUUUCACUGCGAGUCGACGUGACUGUUAACCAGGACACCACUGUACCAUUCAACCAAUUUCUACAGAUCAUAGAGACGUCGAUGCAAAAAUGCAAACUUAUUUUAUCGUUAAUUAAAAGUUCUAACAGCUUCAGGUGCAUUUCCAAAUCUUGGUUACGGUUGUUUUGCUGCCAAUAUCCGGUUGUAUUGUAUUAACAAUCAGGAGACGAAAGAGUAUUCGCUUUUGUGAAGAAUAGCUAGGUUG